AAGUCGAGCGAACGGACGAGAAGCUUGCUUCUCUGAUGUUAGCGGCGGACGGGUGAGUAACACGUGGAUAACCUACCUAUAAGACUGGGAUAACUUCGGGAAACCGGAGCUAAUACCGGAUAAUAUUUUGAACCGCAUGGUUCAAAAGUGAAAGACGGUCUUGCUGUCACUUAUAGAUGGAUCCGCGCUGCAUUAGCUAGUUGGUAAGGUAACGGCUUACCAAGGCAACGAUGCAUAGCCGACCUGAGAGGGUGAUCGGCCACACUGGAACUGAGACACGGUCCAGACUCCUACGGGAGGCAGCAGUAGGGAAUCUUCCGCAAUGGGCGAAAGCCUGACGGAGCAACGCCGCGUGUGUGAUGAAGGUCUUCGGAUCGUAAUAAUCUGUUAUUAGGGAAGUACAUAUGUGUAAGUAACUGUGCACAAUCUUGAAGGUACCUAAUCUAGAUAUAGCCUACGGCAAACUUACGUGCCAGCAGCCGCGGUUAUACGUAGGUGGCAAGCGUUAUCCGGAAUUAUUGGGCGUA
rnacentral:rRNA from 1 species